UACGGGAGGCAGCAGUGGGGAAUAUUGGACAAUGGGCGCAAGCCUGAUCCAGCCAUGCCGCGUGUGUGAAGAAGGCCUUCGGGUUGUAAAGCACUUUUGUCCGGAAAGAAAAGCUUAGGGUUAAUAACCUUGAGUCAUGACGGUACCGGAAGAAUAAGCACCGGCUAACUUCGUGCCAGCAGCCGCGGUAAUACGAAGGGUGCAAGCGUUACUCGGAAUUACUGGGCGUAAAGCGUGCGUAGGUGGUUUGUUAAGUCUGAUGUGAAAGCCCUGGGCUCAACCUGGGAAUGGCAUUGGAAACUGGCUUACUAGAGUGCGGUAGAGGGGUGUGGAAUUCCCGGUGUAGCAGUGAAAUGCGUAGAUAUCGGGAGGAACAUCUGUGGGCGAAGGCGACACCCUGGGACCAGCACUGACACUGAGGCACGAAAGCGUGGGGAGCAAACAGGGAUUAGAUACC
rnacentral:rRNA from 1 species